CGAGGACGAACGCUGGCGGCGUGCCUAACACAUGCAAGUCGAGCGGGGACAUUAACAGAACGGAAGUUUCGGACGGAAGGGAAGAUAAGUGUUCUAGCGGCGGACGGGUGAGUAACGCGUGAGCAACCUGUCCUUCACAGGGGGAUAACACAGCGAAAGUUGUACUAAUACCGCAUAAGACCACGGUACCGCAUGGUGCAGGGGUCAAAGGAGGAAUCCGGUGAAGGGUGGGCUCGCGUCCGAUUAGAUAGUUGGUGAGGUAACGGCCCACCAAGUCAACGAUCGGUAGCCGACCUGAGAGGGUGAUCGGCCACAUUGGGACUGAGACACGGCCCAAACUCCUACGGGAGGCAGCAGUGGGGAAUAUUGGGCAAUGGGGGGAAACCCUGACCCAGCAACGCCGCGUGAGGGAAGAAGGUUUUCGGAUCGUAAACCUCUGUCCUAGGUGAAGAGGAAGAGACGGUAGCCUAGGAGGAAGCCCCGGCUAACUACGUGCCAGCCGCGGC
rnacentral:rRNA from 1 species